rnacentral:rRNA from 1 species
GCGCAUGCAGGUGGUUUGUUAAGUCAGAUGUGAAAGCCCGGGGCUCAACCUCGGAAUUGCAUUUGAAAACUGGCAGACUAGAGUACUGUAGAGGGGGUAGAAUUUCAGGUGUAGCGGUGAAAUGCGUAGAGAUCUGAAGGAAUACCGGUGGCGAAGGCGGCCCCCUGGACAGAUACUGACACUCAGAUGCGAAAGCGUGGGGACGCAAACAGGAUUAGAUACCCUGGUAG